UGGAUUACUGGGGCAAAGGAACCAUGGUCACAGUCAGCACAGAACCCCCAAAGGCCCCUUCUCUUUUCCCACUCAUCCCAUCCGGGGACAACUCAGGCUCUCACCAGAUCGUCGUCGGAUGCCUCGCCAAGAAUUACCUGCCAGACUCCAUCACUUUCUCCUGGAAUGCUACAGACAUCAAGAAUAUCGACAACAUGAAAUUUCCAUCGAUCUUGUCGGGUGGGACGUACACCACAGCGUCUCAGGCUAAAGUUAACCGGACUGACUGGGAUAGCUAUAAAACGUUCUAUUGCCACGCCGAUCACCCCAAGGGCAAGCCAUCAAUCCCAGUUAUUCGACAAUAUGGGGGAUCAUCAGCAAAGGAACCUAUGAUGCUCGUCCGGGCACCAAUUAUUAGGGCCUUUUCCAGUAGCUACCUAAAUUCCACUGUCACCUGUGAAGUUAGUGACCUCUGCUCCCCAAACAUUGAGCUCCGUUGGCUUAAGGAGGAACGAGAAAUCACCACCGGCUUCACCACCGCCAAAGCCGUCCCAAAUAGCCAUGGGGGAUACACCGUGUGGAGCAAACUUGUCAUCACCAAGGAAGACUGGCUUUCUGAAAAGAAGUUCGCCUGUGACGUGAAAAGCAAGGCCUACAACCAUUCGGAGACCUUCAACAUCUUAUCUUUCUGCGGAGAAGACCCCGGUCACUGUGAAGACGUUACCGUGGAAACCAUCCCCCCAACUUUUGCUGACAUGUUCCUGACCAACUCAGCCAACCUGACCUGCAGGAUCUCCAAUAUCCCCCUUAAUUCGGAGUAUUCGAAAUUGAAUGUCACCUGGACACGAGCAUCGGACCACAAGCAACUACACACGGUGAUGACCAACUUCCUAGGCCAGGGCAAUGAUUUUUACUAUGUCGAUGCGAUAGCCACCAUGUGUGCAUCAGAAUGGAACAAACAGGAUACCUAUAUCUGCAAAGUGACAUUUGAAGACGUACUUGUCAAGCCAAUAGAAAAACCCCUGCGGAAGGAGAUUGUUGGCAAACCCAAACCUCCUUCGUUCUACAUCUAUCCACCUUCAACAGAAGAGCUGAAUUUACACGAAGACGCUACCAUCAUCUGCUACAUCAAAGGCUUCAAUCCCGGCAACCUAUUUGUGCGUUGGCUCAAGAAUGAAAAGACGGUCAGCGAAUCAACAUACUUCACCAGCAAACCCAUAGCAGAGUCCAAAGUAUCAUCCAAAGAGUAUUUUGCCUACAGCAUGUUGACCGUCAACGCACAGGAGUGGAAUGAUGGAAGUUCCUUCACUUGCAUGGUGGGACAUGAAGAAUUCCCCUACAACUCAAGUCAGAAGACUAUAAACAAGAACACGGGUUACAUAGAUGGCAUGGUGGACUCGGAGGAUGAAGAAGAAUUCCAAAACCUCUCGUCGAUCCUUUCCACUUUCAUCAUUCUUUUCCUAGUGAGCCUCUUCUACAGUGCCACGGUGACCGUCAUCAAGGUGAAAUAGAAAGACAGAUGCUGUUCUUCUACAUCUACCUCUCGAAAAGGAGAAAGGAUUUAUUUGAGAGGGGUUGGAAUUUUUUUUUAACCUUGCUUUGUAUCAUAGCCUUAAGAUUCCAUGUAAGCUGAAACAGUUGUUUACAGCUUAGCUCCAUGGUGAAAUGUUGUUUUACUUUGUCAUGUCAUUUUCUGUAUGACGUAUAUCUUUGUGGAUACUUCUCUGUGUCUCAAUUAUAGUCAUCGUUUCAUCAUUGUAAUGAUUUGGGGGGGAGGGGUCUGAAUGAUCUACCUGAUCUUGAUACCCUAAAGGGGACUUACAGCACUUUUAAUUUUCAUGUAAAACAGACAGGGGAUCACUGCACAAUUCGUAUGAAUUAGAAUGUAC